rnacentral:misc_RNA from 1 species
ACUAAUUAAGGGAUUCUAACAGUAACUCUUUUGGAAACUAUUAACAGUUUAAUGUGCAGUGUUUAGUCUGGAAAAUGAAUGAGAGUUGCAUAGGAAAUUGUCUUGUUGAAAGGAUGAAGUGGUUCUCAGCUAAAUGUUGCUUGAAUUUCUAUUAGAAGUAUUUUCGUACUUAUUUCUUGUCCUUUAGGAGCCUGAUAUACAUACAAAUAAAAGAAUGUAGUGGUAACUAUCCGUGCAUGUGUGAUUUAGUUGUUGCACUGGUAAGGUGCUAUGUUUUUUCAUUUGACAAAAAAAAGAAAAAGUUGCUAUAAUUUUUCGUACUAGAGAGGUUGUACUAAUUAUGCAUUUAUGUUUUAUACUAAAAAUAUGUUCUUAAAUUUUGUGGGCACAUAUACCUUUUUUUGGGGAUUUUAUUUAUCCAUGUUCAAUAUUUGCAGGUACAAGUUCAC